AAUAUUGGACAAUGGGCGAAAGCCUGAUCCAGCCAUGCCGCGUGUGUGAAGAAGGUUCUCGGAUUGUAAAGCACUUUAAGCUGGGGGGACGGGCAGUGAGUUAAUACCUUGCUGUGUUGACGUUUCCGACAGAAUAAGCACCGGCUAACUUAGUGCCAUCAGCCGCGUUAACACCAAGGGUGCAAGCGGUAAUCGGAAUUACUGGGCGUAAAGCGCGCGUAGGUGGUUUGUUAAGUUGGAAGUGAAAGCCCCGGGCUCAACCUGGGAACUGCUUUAAAAACUGGCAAGCUAGAGUAUGGCAGAGGGUGGUGGAAUUUCCUGUGUAGCGGUGAAAUGCGUAGAUAUAGGAAGGAACACCAGUGGCGAAGGCGACCACCUGGGCUAAUACUGACACUGAGGUGCGAAAGCGUGGGGAGCAAACA
rnacentral:rRNA from 1 species